rnacentral:rRNA from 1 species
UACGUAGGGAGCAAGCGUUGUCCGGAAUCAUUGGGCGUAAAGCGCGCGUAGGCGGCCUCAUAAGUCCGUUGUGAAAGUCAAAGGCUCAACCUUUGAAGGCCGAUGGAUACUGUGAGGCUAGAGUCCGGAAGAGGCGAGUGGAAUUCCUGGUGUAGCGGUGGAAUGCGCAGAUAUCAGGAGGAACACCAAUAGCGAAGGCAGCUCGCUGGGACGGUACUGACGCUAAGGCGCGAAAGCGUGGGGAGCAAACAGG